rnacentral:rRNA from 1 species
AAGCCCUUCGGGGUGUAAAAUACUUUUAACCGGGACGAAGUACUGACGGUACCGGUUGAAUAAGGGGCUGCUAACCUCGUGCCAGCAGCAGCGGUAAUACGAGGGCCCCAAGCAUUAUCCGGAUUUAUUGGGCGUAAAGCGUCCGUAGACUGUUUGUCGCAUCUCCUGUUAAAUCCUCUGGCUCAACCAGGGGGCUGCGGGAGAGAUGGAUAAACUAGAGACUGGAAGAGGCAAGCGGAAUUGCUGGUGUAGGGGUUAAAUCCGUUAAUAUCAGCAGGAACACCAAAAGCGAAGGCAGCUUGCUGGGACGACACUGACGCUGAGACACGAAAGCGUGGGGAGCGAAUGGGAUUAGAUACCCCAGUAGUCCACGCCGUAAACGAUGGAUACUAAGCAUUGGCAGUAUCGACCCUGCCAGUGCUGUUAAUUUAAGGUAACCCGUUAAGUAUCCCGCCUGGGGAGUACGAGCGCAAGCUUAAAACUCAAAGGAAUAGACGGGGACCCGCACAAGCGGUGGAGCAUGUGGUUUAAUUCGACGAUAAGCGAGGAACCUCACCAAGGUUUGACAUCUAGCUGCAGACUCCUGGAAACAGGAGGGCCUUCGAGGGUGCUAGACAGGUGCUGCAUGGUUGUCGUCAGCUCGUGUCGUGAGAUGUACCGUUAAGUCGGGAAACGAGCGCAACCCCUAUCCUAUGUUUCAAGUGUCAUAGGAAACUGCCCGCUUUAAGUGGGAGGAAGGCGGGGAUGACGUCAAAUCAGCAUGGUUCUUACACCUUGGGCGACACACGUGCUACAAUGGGUAAUACAAAGGGACGCCAAACCGUAAGGUGGAGCAAAUCCCCCAAAAUUACUCUCAGUUCGGAUUGAGGUCUGCAACUCGACCUCAUGAAGCCGGAAUCGCUAGUAAAC